AUAAAUUGAAGAGUCAUCAUUAACUACGACAUGUUUUUCAUUGUUAGUUAAUGCAGUCAUUUACAAUAAAUUAAUUUGAGUUCAUGUUGUAGUUAAGUAAGUCAGUAAGUUACAUGUCUUAACUCAGCAUUAGUUUAUAUUUACUAAUAUUUAAGUAAGAAUUCAUUUAGGUAUACGUUCAAUGUUUCCAAUGAUGAGCAGUUAAUCCACUAAACCCAGAGAUAAUUCCUGAGGCAUGUUUAAAGAGUUUUGUAUUUCAUCAAGAAGGUGCUGCUGAUUCACAAAGAUUUUAUAUUUAAGAAAAUCUGAGCAUCAUUCCAAAUAACUGUUAACAUGUUUGUCAACUAAACAUGUUUUGUAAACGUAAUAAACUUUAUAAAAAUAUUUUUUAUUUUUUAUUAAUAAUCAAGUAUAAAGAACAAUGCAUAGUGUGAAAACGCGGAUUAUAAAAAGUGUAUUAAAGAAAAGGACUACAUUUCCCAGAAUGCACCUGCACCUACUCAUCUGCCCCCACCCUUCAGGUGCGACUGCUCAACCUAUGGGCUUGACGGGAAAAUUCAAAAUCGCGAACCGUUACUGCUUGGACUACUCCGUCUCUUGUUUGUUUGUUUGCUCAUUAACAGUAAGAGGUCAUGUACACUGUGGUCAACUUUGUGGACGAUGAAGAGGUUUCUGGGUAAAGAUGAUAGAAAUAUAAUGAAGUAACAGUGAAAGCUAAAACAUCAGACUGAUCCAGACACUGAAGAAAUUGAUGUCACUGCAAUCUGGCCAAAAUGAUACAACAAUAUUGAAGUAGCCUACUGUAAUGAAGCUGCAGAACAACACAGAGACUCUGAGGACAUCAACACAGAAAAUUAAGGCUCCAAAGAGAUGUCUGUCCAGAUGAGGGUGCAUCAACGUUACCUUUGCUGACAAGUAUAUGCUUUACAAUGUAAAACCUAACAGUUAACUUAACUCAAACCAUUUAAGGAAAUCGGUUGCCUUAACCCAUUAAGUUUAAAAAAAAAACAUACAUUUGAGUACUGUGAACUUAAGUCUUGUGCAAUAAUGCACUUAUAUUUAGUUAGUGUGAACUUAAAUAUAAGUGCAUAACUGCAUGUGACUCAAUUUGUUUAAGUUCACAGUACUCAAAUCUAUGUGUUUUAAAACUUAAAUGGUUUAAUGCAACCGGUUUUCUUAAAUGGUUUGAGUUUAGUUAACUUUUAGGUUUUACAGUGAGAAAUUCUUGAAUAAUUCCAAGACAGAGCUCUGCAAUUGUAUCUACACUGCAAAAAAAUCAGUUUCUAACUUAGGAUUUUUAUCUUGUUUUUAGUAGAAAAACUAAAAAUUCUUAAAUUAAGAUGUAUUUUCUUGUUGAGCAAAA